AACUCUUCCCUUACAGUCUCAAUUUGAAAACUUGCUUUCUAGGUUAACUAAAUUACUAUGUUGUGCCCUUGCUCAGCAUUCUGCACAAACACUGGCUUACUAUGAGAUGUCAGAACCAGUCCUGCAAACCCCAGACACCAUCGCAGCUGCUUUUUACUUCUGUUUUUGCAAAAGGAAUGGAAGGUGGAGCAAGAGACAUAUGAUAAAUUUCCAAGAGAAUCACUUGUGAUAUAGAAUGCCUGUAAGAGGAGGAGCUAUAUAAUUAAAGUGCAGAAUCUCCAGUGCCAUGAAUAUUGGAGUGACAUAUACCCAGCAGGCGAGAAGAGAUUAUAUAGUCUAAAUACAAAAGAAAAAUCUCAGAAGGAAUAGAAGAUGG
rnacentral:lncRNA from 1 species